UACAGAGGUCCCCAAGCGUUGUUCGGAUUCACUGGGCGUAAAGGGUGCGUAGGUGGUCAGGUAAGUCUGAUGUGAAAUCUCUGAGCUCAACUCAGAAAUGGCAUUGGAUACUAUCUGGCUAGAGGGUCGGAGGGGGGACUGGAAUUCUCGGUGUAGCAGUGAAAUGCGUAGAUAUCAAGUGGAACACCAGUGGCGAAGGCGAGUCCCUGGACGAUUUCUGACGCUGAGGCACGAAAGCUAGGGGAGCAAACAGG
rnacentral:rRNA from 1 species